rnacentral:lncRNA from 1 species
ACCGGUUCUUUCAAUUCAUAUGCCCCUUCAACCUGAGGAAAUUUCAUCAGCUCCUUAUUCUCCAUCUGCAGAAGCUUGUUCUCCCUCUUCUUCAGAUCAUUUAUGACCACCUUUGCCCUCUCACAUAUUUGUGGGUCAUGCCAUACAAAGAACCCACAUCCCCUUUCCUGAAUCCAAAACAUACCCAUUACAAACAUGCAGGUACAACCCUUUUCCAAAAACUAAAUCAAAAGCAAUUAGAAGCACUUACUCUGAAUUUCAAGCAUGAGAAAAACCUCAUGUCACGAUUUGUUUCACUCCAUGAGGUCCACAGAGGAGUUCUUAACCCGCAAUAACACAACAAUGGUUGAGCUUCAUAAUCAACAUCAAUGGCGUGUCUUCAAGCAGAGGUUGAAGAUGACGAGGAACUGUAAGCCAUGGACAGUCUUCGAGUAAAGGAUGAAGAUGACGAGCAGUAUCAGAGAAAUUGGAGAAGAAAGAAGAGAUCGGUAAUUUAGGACUUUUUCCCCCUUUUGGCAUAGAGGUUCUAAUCCUGUUUGUCUAGCUGGAAGAUUUUUUAACGACAGGGGCCUACUUGAGUUAGGUUUUGCAGCGUCAACGACAUCUAGGGACCAAAAAAAAGUUCCAAGGCUAAAUGGGCCGAAUGCAAAAACUUCAGGGUAAAUUAUGCACAUUUGCCCUUAAACUCACUAUCUAAAAAUUUGCAACAAUC